GAGAGUUUUGUAACGAUUAUAUUUCAAUUUAAAAAAUAAAAAACGAGCCUGUUUGAGGAAGGGGUGUCCGCACAGAUGCCUGUUGAAAAUACUGUAGACGAGAAAAUAAAAUAAUCUCGGGUCUUUCACAGCUGCGUGUGUGCGCGCGUGUGUAUGCGUGUUUUUUUAUCCGCAGGCCCCGUCCGGGUCAAAACAGCGAUUGGUUUAACUAAAAAAAGAAACAUUCAUGGAUGGUCUCGGCGCUCAUGAACCUCUAGAAUACAAAGGGGACCGUGAAUGCCUCAUGGAGCUCCAGGCGGAGGAUACUUUCCGGGAAGCCGCCGCUGAGAAACAUGACAGAUAUAACGAUGUUCAGCAGCUGUUGGAGCUGAAAGAAGAGCGUUUCCAUGACAACCGCUCUGAUCUGGACCAGGACAAGCAGGACUUAGUCCACAUAAAGAAAGAAAUCUCAUUCAAACUAAUCCAUAAAUUCUAUCCAACCAAACUAUAUCUACAAAGGUUCAAGGAAGAUAUUGAUGUUACUUGCUCUUUUUGUCAUGAACACCCUGAAGAUGCUGUACAUUUAUUUUGGUCAUGUCCCUUUUCCACCACUCUCUGGUCUAAAGUUUGUCAUUUCAUUUCUGCCCACAUUGACCCUGACUUCCGCCUGUACUUAGAAAAUAUUAUGUUUGGCAUCACCCACUGUCCAUCUCAUAAAAAAGAACAGUUGUUCCUCAUUAACCUUUUGUUGUUUUUAUGCAAAUGGCACAUUCAUAAAUCAAAAGUAACGAAUCAUACCCCUCAUUUCUCAAUCUUUAUUAAUGAGUUCAAACAAUACAUUAAGACAAUAAGAAACUCUGAUAAUAAGAACGCCAUCAAAACAUUAGAUCUGUGUAUUAGUUUCAAUAUAUAUGCA